rnacentral:rRNA from 1 species
CCUACGGGUGGCUGCAGUGGGGAAUAUUGGACAAUGGGCGCAAGCCUGAUCCAGCCACGCCGCGUGAGUGAUGAAGGCCUUCGGGUCGUAAAGCUCUGUGGGGAGGGACGAACCCUGACUGGUGAAUAGCCAGGCAGUUGACGGUACCUCCUUAGCAAGCACCGGCUAACUCCGUGCCAGCAGCCGCGGUAAUACGGAGGGUGCAAACGUUGCUCGGAAUCACUGGGCGUAAAGCGCACGUAGGCGGUCCGAUAAGUCGGAUGUGAAAGCCCUGG